rnacentral:misc_RNA from 1 species
UCUCAGAUUUCCAUGCCCUUUUGCACUGACAACCUAUCCUCUCGCGACGACUAUAACUCUGAAGACUCCGAUCUGAACUCCGCCGCGGAUUCUGUGCCCAACUCAACCUCGCAGUCAUCAUUAUUCUCCUCAUCAACAUCUGAACCAACAGCAGCUUCGCCAGCUUCGACUGAUGAUCGAGUGGUCUAUCAACAGCGGCUCGAGGAUGGCCUCGAUGUUGGCAUUUACAGGGC